rnacentral:rRNA from 1 species
CUACGGGAGGCUGCAGUUAAGGAACUUUUGCAAUGCGCGCAAGCGUGACAUAGCAAGCCAGAGUGUUUCUCUAUUUUGAGAAACUUUUGCUAAAUCUAAAAAUUUUGGCGAAUAAGGACUGGGAGAGACUGGUGCCAGCCGCCGCGGUAAUACCAGCGGUCCAAGUCGCAGCCACAUCUAUUGGGUCUAAAACAUUCGUAGCUUGUCUUACAAGUCUUUUGUGAAAUCCUGUAUCUCAAGUACAGGGCGGGCAAAAGAUACUGUAAGGCUAGAGACCGGAGGAUGUAAGGAGUACGGUUGGGGUAGUGGUAAAAUACGUUAAUCCCAACUGGACUAACAAUAGCGAAGGCACCUUACAACGACGGAUCUGACAGUGAGGGAUGAAGGCUAGGGUCGCAAAACGGAUUAGAUACCCCAGUAGUC